UGAUAUCAUUAACACCUGGUGUUAGAGAAACUUUGCUCUAAGGAUGUCCUGGUUGAGAACCAUUGUGACUUCAAUGGAUUUAAGACAUGUACAGCUCUAUAACCCAUUGGCUGCAGCUUUGGGGAGCUACUAAAUAAACUAGCAAUGACAGUGAGCCAAAAUCGUAUAUCUUUGUUUCUGUUAACACUGGAUAGCCAGUGAACUUGUGAACCAGUUUAAUGAGUCUCAGUUGGAUGGUGCAUAUAAAUGAUUUCCUUAGAAGUCCUUAGUUUUUAAAAUGAAUAUAUAUUUGGUUUGAAAUGUAAUAGUUAGCUAGAAAUUGUAAGUAGUUAAGUGAGUAGUUUGUCAGCACUGGAGAGAUGUGCUGUUGGGGCAUGUGCUUUGGUUUUUUUUUAACAGGAUGUUGACAUGAUCUGUCAUACCUCAGAACUGUUUAGGAAGUCAGUCACAGCAUUACUGAAUACACCUCAUUCAUUUAUGGGACAAUAUGGAGCUCAGCUGGUUCAUACUCACUUUACUGCUGACUGUCUAUAAAUCCAAUGGAGAAAUCCGCCAAGAGCCAGAAAUCUUUGCCAACAGGAGUUCAACUGUGACACUGACAUGUGAACAUGAUAAUUCUGACCAUUACAGCUUGUUCUGGUACAAGCAAGCAAAGGGGACUGUGGAUUUGUCUUUAAUGGUAUUUUCUGCUAGUCAAAACCAGGCGAAUAUUGAAGAACCAUUUAAAACUCAAGAUUCUAAGUAUGCGGCAACCCGUCCUGAAAUAAAGAAGUCCACGCUGCAGAUUAACAAGCUAGAGACUAAAGACUCAGCUCUCUAUUACUGUGCCACGAGCACACAGUAUUAUAUUACAGCUGCAUAGCUAAACAACAACCACAAAGUUAACACUGCGCCGUGCUUUCAUCUCUCAUUUAUGAUGUCAUUUCCUGUACCUUUUGAUCAUAGACACGCUAAAUAGGACAGUCAAAAUAAAUCUAGAAGGGGUGAGAGACAGUAAGGAGUGGAUUCUCCUCUUUAAUGUCAUGGGACUGCUGUGUUUGGGGUUUAUUUUGCUGCUAGUUAUUAAUUCAUUAGGAGGAAUAACCAUCAUUCAGAAUGAUCAAAUUAGUAAAACUCAAGUGAUUAUUCAACGGGAUAAACAGGUUACUUUAAAAUGUAACCACGAUGAUGGCAGCUAUUAUUAUAUGUACUGGUACAGACAGAAAGGUCAAGGUGAACUGUCCCUUGUUGCUAUUUCUCUUGGAAAAGAUUCAAAAGAAACAGUUGCCCCAUUCAAAAAAACAAAAUACAUAAUGGAACGUCCUGAAAUUGAAGAAUCUUCACUGGAGAUCAAGAAUCUAACAGAGGAUGACUCGGGUAUUUAUUUCUGCGCCUCAAGUAUUGCACAGUACCUUAACUUAGCCAAGCACCUGAACAAUAACCUCAACCUGAGCCACAAUGAUCAGAGAGAAAAUACAUGAUAAUCAAGCUGGCUGUGGGAUAGACUAUCUUUGAUCUCCUUUUCAUGUGUACAAAAUUCAUAUGCACACCCUUUACAUAUCAGAGUUUGAGGAAUGAUGAUAUAAUAUACAUCUAAUAAUAAUAACUACAACUCCAAACUGAGUACUGAAUGUUUGUUGCAAUGUUUGUGAAUUAAACAUGAUUUGGUUAUAUGGACCCUUA